rnacentral:rRNA from 1 species
AUAUCAAUAAGCGGAGGAAAAGAAACCAACAGGGAUUGCCUCAGUAACUGCGAGUGAAGCGGCAACAGCUCAAAUUUGAAAUCUGGCCUCACGGUCCGAGUUGUAAUUUGUAGAGGAUGUUUUGGGUACCGCCGUGAUUUAAAUUUCUUGGAACAGAAUGUCAAAGAGGGUGAGAGUCCCGUCUUGGACCGCGGUAGGGCCUGUUUAAAACUCCUUUGUCGAGUCGACUUGUUUGGGAAUACAGGUCAAAAUGGGUGGUAAAUUUCAUCUAAAGCUAAAUAUUGUCCAGAGACCGAUAGCGCACAAGUAGAGUGAUCGAAAGAUGAAAAGCACUUUGAAAAGAGAGUUAAACAGUAUGUGAAAUUGUUGAAAGGGAAGCGCUGGCGACCGGACUCAGUGCGCGGGGUUCCCCCUUGCUUCUGCUUGGGUUACUUCCCCGUGUCCGGGCCAUCAUCAGUUUCGGGGGCCGGUUAAAGCCCCUGGGAAUGGUAUCUACUCCUUCGGGGGUAGACUUAUAGCCCAGGUGUGUCAUGCGGCCAUUCGGGACUGAGGAACGCGCUUCGCCGAGGAUGAUGGCGUAAUGGUUGUCAGCGA